rnacentral:rRNA from 1 species
GAGUUUGAUCGUGGCUCAGAUUGAACGCUGGCGGCAUGCCUUACACAUGCAAGUCGAACGGCAGCAUGAUCUAGCUUGCUAGAUUGAUGGCGAGUGGCGAACGGGUGAGUAAUACAUCGGAACGUGCCCUGUAGUGGGGAGUAACUAGUCGAAGAUUAGCUAAUACCGCAUACGACCUGAGGGUGAAAGUGGGGGACCGGCAAGGCCUCAUGCUAUAGGAGCGGCCGAUGUCUGAUUAGCUAGUUGGUGGGGUAAAGGCCCACCAAGGCGACGAUCAGUAGCUGGUCUGAGAGGACGAUCAGCCACACUGGGACUGAGACACGGCCCAGACUCCUACGGGAGGCAGCAGUGGGGAAUUUUGGACAAUGGGCGAAAGCCUGAUCCAGCAAUGCCGCGUGUGUG